AAUUCUCAACCUUUAUCAGCUUUGCUGUUAUAGGCUUGGAUGUGGAGGUUUUUGCAGGCCUUAUAGGUCAGCUCCUCUGAAAUACAUUAGUGGUGUCCCCUUCAUGGUUAAAUGACUAUUGGUGUGAUAAACUAUCUACGCUUAUGGGCAACUGUGUUCACUUGAAUGUGAAAAGGGAUUUGGCUGCUUCUAACGGUCUGAAAGGACAAUAAUAAAUGACU
rnacentral:misc_RNA from 1 species